ACAGGUGAGAUUAUAGAGAUGAACCAGAGAGAGAGAGAGAGAACAGGUGAGAUUAUAGAGAUGUACCAGAGAGAGAACAGGUGAGAUUAUAGAGAUGUACCAGAGAGAGAGAACAGGUGAGAUUAUAGAGAUGUACCAGAGAGAGAGAGAGAGAGAGAGAACAGGUGAGAUUAUAGAGAUGUACCAGAGAGAGAGAACAGGUGAGAUUAUAGAGAUGUACCAGAGAGAGAACAGGUGAGAUUAUAGAGAUGUACCAGAGAGAGAGAACAGGUGAGAUUAUAGAGAUGUACCAGAGAGAGAGAACAGGUGAGAUUAUAGAGAUGAACCAGAGAGAGAACAGGUGAGAUUAUAGAGAUGUACCAGAGAGAGAACAGGUGAGAUUAUAGAGAUGUACCAGAAAGAGUGAGAGAACAGGUGAGAUUAUAGAGAUGUACCAGAGAGAGUGAGAGAACAGGUGAGAUUAUAGAGAUGUACCAGAGAGAGACAGAACAGGUGAGAUUAUAGAGAUGUACCAGAGAGAGAGAGAACAGGUGAGAUUAUAGAGAUGUACCAGAGAGAGAACAGGUGAGAUUAUAGAGAUGUACCAGAGAGAGAGAGAGAACAGGUGAGAUUAUAGAGAUGAACCAGAGAGAGAACAGGUGAGAUUAUAGAGAUGAACUCUUUCACUGUGUUCUGAAUACAGUACUGUACUUUACUCAGACCAUGAAGAGAGAGAACAGGUGAGAUGAUAGAGAUGCCGCCCGUGUCCUCUAGAGGGAACUCUUUCACUGUGUUCUGAAUACAGUACUGUACAUUACUCAGACCAUGAAGAGAGAGAACAGGUGAGAUGAUAGAGAUGCCGCCCGUGUCCUCUAGAGGGAACUCUUUCACUGUGUUCUGAAUACAGUACUGUACAUUACUCAGACCAUGAAGAGAGAGAACAGGUGAGAUGAUAGAGAUGCCGCCCGUGUCCUCUAGAGGGAACUCUUUCACUGUGUUCUGAAUACAGUACUGUACAUUACUCAGACCAUGAAGAGAGAGAACAGGUGAGAUGAUAGAGAUGCCGCCCGUGUCCUCUAGAGGGAACUCUUUCACUGUGUUCUGAAUACAGUACUGUACUUUACUCAGACCAUGUAUUCAGAAAUUCAACAAAUUGUGUGAAUCAGGGCCCUUAAAAAUGUACCUUGUUCCCUAUUUAGUGUCCUUGUCGAAAGUAGUGCGCUAUGCACCCUAUUCGAUAGUGCACUACUUUUGACAAGGACCCAUAGGUACCAUUUGAGCCAG